rnacentral:rRNA from 1 species
GACGAACGCUGGCGGCGUGCUUAACACAUGCAAGUCGAACGGAAAGGCCCCUUUGGGGGUACUCGAGUGGCGAACGGGUGAGUAACACGUGCGUAACCUGCCCUUGCCUUCGGGAUAACUUUAGGUAACUGGGGCUAAUACCGGCUAGGAAUCCUUGCUUCAUGGUGGGGGUUGGAAAGCUUCGGGGGUUUUGGAUGGACUCGCGGCGUAUCAGCUUGUUGGUUGGGUGGUGGCUUACCUAGGCUUUGACGGGUAGCUGGCCUCAGGGGGCGACCGGCCACAUUGGGACUGAGAUAAGGCCCAGGCUCCUAAGGGGGGGAACAGGGGGGAAUAAUGACGAAUGGGCGGAAGCCUGGUGCAGCAACGCCGCGUGCGGGAAUACGGGCUUCGGGUUGUAAACCGCUUUCAGCAGGGGCGAAGCUUGUGGUGACGGUACCUGCUGAAGAAGCACCGGCUAACUACGUG